CAUGCAAGUCGAGGGGCAGCGGGAUUGAAGCUUGCUUCAAUUGCCGGCGACCGGCGCACGGGUGAGUAACGCGUAUCCAACCUUCCGUACACUCAGGGAUAGCCUUUCGAAAGAAAGAUUAAUACCUGAUGGUAUGAUGAGAUUGCAUGAUAGCAUCAUUAAAGAUUUAUCGGUGUACGAUGGGGAUGCGUUCCAUUAGGUAGUAGGCGGGGUAACGGCCCACCUAGCCAACGAUGGAUAGGGGUUCUGAGAGGAAGGUCCCCCACAUUGGAACUGAGACACGGUCCAAACUCCUACGGGAGGCAGCAGUGAGGAAUAUUGGUCAAUGGACGAGAGUCUGAACCAGCCAAGUAGCGUGAAGGAUGAAGGUCUUACGGAUUGUAAACUUCUUUUAUAAGGGAAUAAAACCUCCCACGUGUGGGAGCUUGUAUGUACCUUAUGAAUAAGCAUCGGCUAACUCCGUGCCAGCAGCCGCGGUAAUACGGAGGAUGCGAGCGUUAUCCGGAUUUAUUGGGUUUAAAGGGAGCGCAGACGGGUCGUUAAGUCAGCUGUGAAAGUUUGGGGCUCAACCUUAAAAUUGCAGUUGAUACUGGCGUCCUUGAGUGCGGUUGAGGUGUGCGGAAUUCGUGGUGUAGCGGUGAAAUGCUUAGAUAUCACGAAGAACUCCGAUUGCGAAGGCAGCACACUAAGCCGUAACUGACGUUCAUGCUCGAAAGUGUGGGUAUCAAACAGGAUUAGAUACCCUGGUAGUCCACACGGUAAACGAUGGAUACUCGCUGUUGGCGAUAUACGGUCAGCGGCUUAGCGAAAGCGUUAAGUAUCCCACCUGGGGAGUACGCCGGCAACGGUGAAACUCAAAGGAAUUGACGGGGGCCCGCACAAGCGGAGGAACAUGUGGUUUAAUUCGAUGAUACGCGAGGAACCUUACCCGGGCUUAAAUUGCAAAGGAAUGAUCUGGAAACAGGUCAGUCUUCGGACCUUU
rnacentral:rRNA from 1 species